ensembl:misc_RNA Metazoa_SRP Metazoan signal recognition particle RNA
GCCAAGGGCAGUGGUGUGCACCUGUAGUCCCAGCUACUUAGGAGGCUGAGGUAGGAGGAUCACUUGAGCUCAGGAGCUCUGAGCUGUAGUGCACUGUGCCAAUUGGGUGUCUGCACUAAAUUUAGCAUCAAUAUGGUGAUCUCCCAGGAGUCAGGGACCACCAGGUUGCCUGAGGGAGGUGUGAACCUACCCAGGUCAGAACUGGAGCAGAUCAAGACUCUCAUGCUGAUCAGUAGUGGGAUCUCACCUGUGAAUAGCCACUGCAUUCCAGCCUGACCAACACAGACCCCAUCUCAA